GGCGCCCUCCGUGCGGGGCGGGCACGUUGCGGGGCAGGUGCUCAGGCCCUUCGCUCCUCGAGCGAGAGUCGAGCUGGGAAAGGUGAGGUUUGGGUCGGAGCCUCUGCCUGGCGAGCAGGAAGGCGUCUGCACCGGUCUGGGACCUGCUUUGUGCGCAGUCAUGCAAAGUUGCAGUCGGGUCCCAUCCGCCCCGGGAACGAGCUGAGCUGAGCUGAGCGAGAAGGCCUCGUCCGCCCGUUUAUGGGAAAUGCAGCGCGCCGCGGCGGCGUCGUAGUGAGCUGCCCCGCGACGGUCCCCCGGGGGCAGGAGGGACGCAGUAGAUAAAUCAGUGAGCUUGUUUCAUGUGGGCAAAAUAAAAAAAGUCGCUGACACAAAGGUUGCCUGGGGAAUGGGGACCCUCGGAGAAGCCAAUAGGAUUAAGUACCAGCUAAAGGCCAUAAUACUGGACACAAAAGAUGCAGGUUGCCUAUUUUCAAGGAGUUGAUGUUUCACUGGUGAAGAUGGAUGAGUACACAAUGAGGAACAAGAGCAUCUAGCUAUCUACAUGGGGGCUCUCAAUCUACUUUAAGCCCCCGCAUGCAGAUGCUGAAGAAGAAACAAUAAUGUUCUUCACCCAAAGCUAAUUGCACUGGUUUUGUACCAACUGUACUGAAGUUCAUUUGUGACUUUCUCAGGAUGAUGGACAUCGGCAGCCCGGGUGGCUCAGCAGUUUAGCGCUGACUUCAACCCAGGGCGUGAUCCUGGAGAACCAGGAUUGAGUCCCGUGUCGGCUCCCUGCUUGGAGCGGGUUUCUCCCUCUGCCUGUGUCUCUGCCUCUCUCUUUCUCUGUGUCUCUCAUGAAUAAAUAAAUAAAAUCUUAAAAAAAAAAAAAAGAUUGAUGAGGACAGGGAUUCGUGUCUGAUUUGUUCAACCGCUGUAUGUCUAGCAUCUGUUAACAGUGCCUGGCAUAGAGUAAGCACUCCAUACAUAUUUGUUGAAAAAAAUGACCUCGCUGGUUUAAAGCAAGCCUCCGUGUUACAAUGGCCCAUCUGCGUGUUGGUCUUCUCCCUGACACUGGAAGUCUCUUGAAGGUACUGACUAGAAUAGUUCAUCUUGGUGUAUGGACAGUACCUGGCACAUGGUCAACACCCAGGAAGUAUUUGUUCAGCGUAUGUUUCAGAGCAGCUUGAUGUUUCCAACCAUCUGAUGAUAAACAUGUUCCAAAGCCUUACACUCCUCCAUUCCUAACUGUGAAAGUGUCCAAUGAGAGUUAGAAAUCUUUUCAACAAUGAUGUACCAAGAGCAGAUAUGGGCUGCACUGUGCUGGGGCCAGGGAGUUCUCACAGAACCUUUAGGUUGUGCAAAUUUAUUUAUUGGUUUAUUUAAGAUUUUAUUUACUUAUU